UACAUGGGGUGCAAACGUUGCUCGGAAUUAUUGGGCGUAAAGCGCACGUAGGCGGUUCGUUAAGUCGGAUGUGAAAGCCCUCGGCUCAACUGAGGAAGUGCACCCGAAACUGGCGAGCUUGAGUACGAAAGAGGAUCGCGGAAUUCCCGGUGUAGAGGUGAAAUUCGUAGAUAUCGGGAGGAACACCGGUGGCGAAGGCGGCCUCUG
rnacentral:rRNA from 1 species